AUUGAAACACCGGUUCCCAUACCAAAGUUAAGCAACAUCGAGCCUGUUUAGUAUUUAGAUGGGUGACUGCUUGGGAAAACCUGGUGCU